GUGCUCACUUCUGUAGCACAUAUACUAAAAUUGGAACCAUACAGAGAAGAUUAGCUACAGCCCCAGAACAAGGAUGACAUGCAAAUUUGUGAAGUGGUCCAUAUGAAG
ensembl:snRNA U6 U6 spliceosomal RNA